UACGUAGGGGGCAAGCGUUGUCCGGAAUCAUUGGGCGUAAAGAGCGUGUAGGCGGCUUGGUAAGUCCGCUGUGAAAGUCCAGGGCUCAACCCUGGAAUGCCGGUGGAAACUGUCAAGCUCGAGUCCGGAAGAGGCGAGUGGAAUUCCUGGUGUAGCGGUGAAAUGCGCAGAUAUCAGGAGGAACACCGGUGGCGAAGGCGGGACUCUGGGCCGAUACUGACGCUGAGGAGCGAAAGCGUGGGGAGCGAACAGG
rnacentral:rRNA from 1 species